GUCCACAUAUGUACAUGGGGGCCACAUAUAUUCAUACUGUUGUCGAAAGGCAAAAUUAACCUACCACUUCCAUCUUUCGUUCACAGUCUUUCCUACUAAGAGAAACUAAAGGGCUUCAACAAAAUCACAAGGCACAGACUGUAUCCACACAUACUUGGGUGCCCCAUAUAUUCACACUAUUAACGACAAAAGGCAAAAUUAACCUUCCACUUCCUAGUCCUAUGAAUCAAGAUGACCGACUUUAGUUGUUAAAGACUCUCUGGCCACAAUUUGCCUCCAUUUAUCUUUAAGAUCAGCAGGACUUCGACUUACAUGAAAUACAUCUCGACCAAACUCUAAAAUUUUCCUCCAAGGAAUAUUUNNNNNNNNNNNGGUUGAAAAUUUCUGAAGUCCUUCCUUUAGCUUAUCUUCCUCCUCAGAUUUCCAUGGAAACCUUUUACGCCCUUCGUGAGAGAAUGGCAGGUUUGUGGAUAUCUUAGCAGGAACUUCCUCCUUUUGUUUCAUAGCUUCAUCUGCUGAAGNNNNNNNAUUUCUUUGGUACAUCAGCACUUUGAUUAUUCAUUGGAACAGUAUCUGAAUAACCCAAUUC
rnacentral:misc_RNA from 1 species